UUGAAGGUCACAAACAUGCGAGAUUUCAGACCCAAGUUGCCUCGAUCGCCUAAUGUCAUGUCGGGUAACUGUGCAGUGAGAUUGUACAUGAGGAAACAACCUUACAGUACUUAAUUUACCAAGGAGUACACUACAUGUAGUUGAAAAAAGACUAAAGGCCAGACUUAGGCAGGAUGAUUGAACAAAAUCUGCUUGCAGAUGGACUAUUGAGGCAAAAAAAUAAAAUGGACUCUCAGCAGGUGAACAGAUGUUCAGCAAGAAAUUCUCACAUCAAAUGCUGUAGAUUACACUGAUAUACCCCCCCCCCCCAAGAAAAAAAGAA